AGGCGAACCCCCGAACCUACUUGUGCCCGUGCUCGUAGAUGUAGGGUCAUUAUCACGGAACCGGUUGUGAUGGCUGCCUGUCAGUCACGACUUAACUAAAGCAGGCUGGUCCUGGGGUGCGCUUUGCACGCCGUGCUGCCACAGGGCGAGAUUCAACGGCGAGCUAAGCAUGUAGUACCGGGGAUGGAGUGCCUUCGGACGGCGGUUCAAUUCCGCCCACCUCCACCA
rnacentral:tmRNA from 1 species